UACGUACUCCCUUCGUCUUAAAAUUCUUGUUUUAGGAUUGUCUAAACCUAGAUGUAUUUAUAUAUUAAACUGUGAGUAAACAUAUUCAUAUCUAGAUAAAUAUAAGACAAGAAUUUUAAGAUGGAGGGAGUAAUAC
rfam:Hordeum vulgare subsp. vulgare, WGS project CAJW01000000 data, contig: morex_contig_61012